UAUGGUUGUAGCUCAGUGGUAGGGCACUUGCCUAUCAUGUGGGAGGAAUUGGGAUCGAGCCUCAGCACUUCAUAA
rnacentral:tRNA from 1 species